rnacentral:rRNA from 1 species
CCUACGGGUGGCUGCAGUGGGGAAUAUUGGACAAUGGGCGCAAGCCUGAUCCAGCAAUGCCGCGUGUGUGAAGAAGGCCUGCGGGUUGUAAAGCACUUUGAGUGGGGAAGAAGGCCUGGGGGUUAAUAGCUUCUGGGAUUGACGUUACCCCCAGAACAAGCACCGGCUAACUCCGUGCCAGCAGCCGCGGUAAUACGGAGGGUGCGAGCGUUAAUCAGAAUUACCGGAGGCGGUGGGCGCGUUCGGAUGUGAAAGCCCUGGGCUUAACCUGGGAACUGCAUUGGAUACUGUUUGACUGGAGUGUGGUAGAGGGGUGUGGAAUGUCCGGUGUAGCAGUGAAAUGCGGAGAGAUCGGAAGGAACACCAGUGGCGAAGGCGGCACCCUGGACCGACACUGACGCUGAGGUGCGAAAGCGUGGGGAGCAAACAGGAUUAGAUACCCUAGUAGUC